rnacentral:lncRNA from 1 species
CCACGGCCUCCUCUUCCCACAGCUGCUGGCCCAGUUGGCCCGGGAGUGCCAGGAGCGGCGGGCCCGGCUGCCCCAGGAGAUCCGCUGCAGCCUGCUGGGCGGGACGCUGGAGGGGCUGGGGGACGGGCCCCUGGUGGCCUGCGCCAGCAACGGGCACGCGCCGGGCUCGGGCGGGCACGCGCCGGGCUCGGGCGGGCACGCGCCGGGCGCCGACCCCGAGAGCCAGGAGGAGAACACGCAGCUGUGAACUGGCCGAGCGAGGUGGCGCGGGGCCGGGGUGGGCGCCGGGCGCGGGCGGGAGGCCACCACACUAAUGCGUCCUUUUUUUAAAAAACAAAAAAACACACAAAAACAAAAAACCUUUUUAUCUUUAGAAAUUUUAUUUUUUUAAGCCCUGGGCAAGCAUCCCACACUAACUCCCUUCCUUCCUGCUCAGGGGCUCCCGGGCUUUCUUUAGUCCCUGGGGACUCUUCGCGAAUAAACGUGCAUUUCAGGGACCCUUGUGCAGCGUGCUUGGGGCCCCAGCUCUGCCUCUGCGCUUUCUGGGGGCUGUGGGUGCUGGCGGGGUGCAGGUCAGCCCCGGGACGCUCCUCCCGGGCAGGGGCUCCUCCCGGGCAGGGGCUCGCUGGCCUCCCCCGUCCCCGCCUCCCUCCCCCAGGCCCCGGCCUCAGCUCAGGAAACCUUCCCCGCCCCCCCUUCCUGUGGCCUGGCGUGACCCAGGCACCCAGCUCCUUCCGCUGGGCAGCUCGGCCGCGCGGGGGCUGGCGGUGCGGGCCGGGCCAGCUCAGAACCGGCCAAGGCGGGCGUGCGGACCCGGCAGGAGGGAGAGCUGUGCCUGUUUCACAGAUGAGCGCACUGAGGCCCAGGGCGGAAGUCCGGCGUGCUGGCCAGCCCGGAGGCCGCCGGUGCGGGCAGGGCAGGCUGGCACCCGAGGCCGGCUCUCCGCUCCCGCUUCCUCCCGCUUCCUCCCGAGGAAGCCGCCUCCUAGCGGGCCCGCUCUCCGCCAAUCGAGUGCUUGCUUUGCUUUUUUUAGUUUUGUUUUUUUUUUUUUUUAGCACCCUCGUGCAGAAGUGUGUAGGGGGAGGCCAGAGGAGCAGGGCGGCGGGGCCCAUGGGUCACUCCCGGCCCUCCUCCUCCUGCGCGCCCGCCGCCGGCUCCGCGCCCCCACGGCCGACCCCGUCUCCCCGUCGGAGGCACCGUAUGGGGGUCCACUCGCGGCCCGCGGGGCCGGGGCUCCUGCCGGGUCCCUGAGCGGCGCUGGCCCCCGGCCGACCGCACAGUAGCCGCUCGCGGGGCCUGACCCAGCUAGGAACAGUGACCUCCCCGGGGAGCCCGCAGGGUUGCGGCCGCGGCGCCUGGUCGCCACCCUGGGGACGAGGCCCUGCGUCCGGCCGCACGCCGCCUCGGCCCCUCGCCCAGCCUCCGUGACGGCGCGACCCUGGGCCUCGGGGCCCCAAACGACGGACAGAGGACACUCGGCGGCACAGAGGCUGGCUUUAUUGGCGCCCUGGGGCGCGCGCGUCGGCCGCGCCGCCCCGCGGGAGAAGGUUCCGGCGGAGCAGCCGUUAGCCCCGGCUCGCCACCUGCGCCGGGCGGGGCCGCAGGGCCACUUCCGGAGGAACGCCGGGACUCCGACGGCUGCGGCACGCACCGGAAGGGGCUCGGGCGUCCAGACUGCGGGACUUCCGCCCACACCCGAGAUGGCCGCCGCCGCCGACGGCAGCGGACUGGGUUUCGGGACUGUGGGGCCGAAGGUCACUGGGAAGGGGCGGAGCCUCCUUUCCCCAAAUUGCGAUCCCACCAAGACUGGAUGACGCGCGUCCAGCUGGAGCUUUCCCUCAUCUGCAUCGCUGUGCCCGCGCUCUUCGGGCGAGGCAGUCCCUUUGGGAUGGGAAGAGGAAAGGGUUAAAUGAGUCGCCUUUCCCCGGCGGUUCCGGUCAGGGUCCUCUCACUUCCGGAAUCCCCGGGAGAACAAUAAAGACCACAGUUCCCAGCA